UAGGGAAUCUUCCACAAUGGACGCAAGUCUGAUGGAGCAACGCCGCGUGAGUGAAGAAGGUCUUCGGAUCGUAAAACUCUGUUGUUAGAGAAGAACACGAGUGAGAGUAACUGUUCAUUCGCUGACGGUAUCUAACCAGCAAGUCACGGCUAACUACGUGCCAGAG
rnacentral:rRNA from 1 species